UUACGACCAUAUUAAGUUGAAACAUAGUUUCACGUCUGAUCACCGAAGUUAAGCAAUGCAGAGCUUGGUCAGUAACUAGAUAGGUUACCGCUUGAGAAUAACAUGUGUUGUCAG